CUGAAGGAAGCACGCCGCGUGAGUGAAGAAGGCUUUCGGAUCGUAAAACUCUGUUGUUGGACAAGAACGGUCGGGAGAGUGGCAUGUUGCCCGCUGUGGCCGGUUUCCUUCCCGAAAAGGGGCGGGUUA
rnacentral:rRNA from 1 species